UUGAACGCUGGCGGAAUGCUUUACACAUGCAAGUCGGGCGGCAGCGCGGGGGCAACCCUGGCGGCGAGCGGCGAACGGGUGAGUAAUACAUCGGAACGUGUCCUUGAGUGGGGGAUAGCUCGACGAAAGCCGGAUUAAUACCGCAUAAGCUCUGAGGAGGAAAGCGGGGGACCGUAAGGCCUCGCGCUGUUGGAGCGGCCGAUGUCGGAUUAGCUAGUUGGUGGGGUAAAGGCCCACCAAGGCGACGAUCCGUAGCUGGUCUGAGAGGAUGAUCAGCCACACUGGAACUGAGACACGGUCCAGACUCCUACGGGAGGCAGCAGUGGGGAAUUUUGGACAAUGGGGGCAACCCUGAUCCAGCCAUUCCGCGUGAGUGAAGAAGGCCUUCGGGUUGUAAAGCUCUUUCGGACGGAACGAAAUGGUUACGGACAAUACCCGUGACUGAUGACGGUACCGUAAGAAGAAGCACCGGCUAACUACGU
rnacentral:rRNA from 1 species